rnacentral:sRNA from 1 species
AAGUCGUAACAAGGUUUCCGUAGGUGAACCUGCGGAAGGAUCAUUACUGAAUUUUUAGAACUUUACUGUUCUAAUUCUUUCAAACACCUGUGAACUUUAUCAAUAUUUUGCUUUGGGUCAGAGUUUUCGGAUUCUGGCCCAAAGAAUUAAAUCAAAACUCUUUAUUUUUAAACAAUAUUGUCUGAAAAUGAUUAUUUAAUAAAUCAAAACUUUCAACAACGGAUCUCUUGGUUCUCGCAUCGAUGAAGAACGCAGCGAAAUGCGAUACGUAAUGUGAAUUGCAGAAUUGUGAAUCAUCGAAUCUUUGAACGCACAUUGCGCCUUUUGGUAUUCCAGAAGGCAUACUUGUUUGAGCGUCAUUUCACUCUUAAAAACAUGAAUUUGUUUUUAGUCUUGAGUUUUAUUUCUCUUUUUGAGAAUAACUUGAAAUGAAUUGGCAUAAGCGAAUUUCUGAGCUUUAACAACGUAAUAGGUUUUACCAACUCGUUGACUCUAGCAAACUAAUUCAUGCUUAGGCGUAAAUAACCCAAACUUUUAAAAGUUUGACCUCAAAUCAAGCAAGAUUACCCGCUGAACUUAAGCAUAUCAAUAAGCGGAGGAAAAGAAACCAACAGGGAUUGCCUCAGUAACGGCGAGUGAAGCGGCAAAAGCUCAAAUUUGAAAUCUAGUACCUUCGGUAUCCGAGUUGUAAUUUGAAGAUGGUAACUUUGGAUUUGGUUCUUGUGUAAGUUCCUUGGAAUAGGGCUUCAUGGAGGGUGAGAAUCCCGUGUCGCGAGAAUACCAUUUCUUUGUAAAGUGCUAUCGAA